AACGAACGCUGGCGGCAUGCCUAACACAUGCAAGUCGAACGAGACCUUCGGGUCUAGUGGCGAACGGGUGCGUAACGCGUGGGAACCUGCCCUUAGGUUCGGAAUAACUCCCCGAAAGGGGUGCUAAUACCGGAUAAUGUCUUCGGACCAAAGAUUUAUCGCCUUUGGAUGGGCCCGCGUUGGAUUAGCUAGUUGGUAGGGUAAAAGCCUACCAAGGCGACGAUCCAUAGCUGGUCUGAGAGGAUGAUCAGCCACACUGGGACUGAGACACGGCCCAGACUCCUACGGGAGGCGGCAGUGGGGAAUAUUGGACAAUGGGCGAAAGCCUGAUCCAGCAAGGCCGCGUGAGUGAUGAAGGCCUUAGGGUUGUAAAGCUCUUUUACCCGGGAUGAUAAUGACAGUACCGGGAGAAUAAGCUCCGGCUAACUCCGUG
rnacentral:rRNA from 1 species